UUCACCAACCGACCACUCAGAUAUGGACACCAUUAUUUCAUCUGUUCAGGAAGAAGCCAAGCAAGCAAUAAAAGUUGAUGAUCCUGUAAUUGAAAGGACAGAAACAACUUUUAGUAGGUUCCCCAACCGACCACUCAAACGGAGUUUAUGGUGGUAGUCAAACGGAGUUUUCGGAUGCAUCUAAAACUGAGGAAGCGAGGGAAGAUGUGCAUGUGGUGUCAUUGGCAAAAGAUUUACCUGCAUCAGACAACCCUGAACUCUUGCUUAAAGACUUCAAAGACUACAAUAAGUCCAAAUCUACUUUGCCAUUGGAUCUUGGCUCUUCUGAACCUGAACCUCUUUCUACUGAUGGCGACCCUUCAAAGAAUUCGCUUCCUUCAGGUUCCCCAACCGACCACUCAAACGGAGUUUAUGGUGGUAGUCAAACGGAGUUUUCUGAUGCAUCUAAAACUGAGGAACCGAGGGAAGAUGUGCAUGUGGUGUCGUUGGCAAAAGAUUUACCUGCAUCAGACAACCCUGAACUCUUGCUUAAAGACUUCAAAGACUACAAUAAGCUCAAAUCUACUUUGCCAUUGGAUCUUGGCUCUUCUGAACCUGAACCUCUUUCUACUGAUGGCGACCCUUCAAAGAAUUCGCUUCCUUCAGGUUCCCCAACCGACCACUCAGAUAUGGACACCAUUAUUUCAUCUGUUCAGGAAGAAGCCAAGCAAGCAAUAAAAGUUGAUGAUCCUGUAAUUGAAUAAACGGAGUUUAUGGUGGUAGGCAAACGGAGUUUUCUGAAUCAUCUAAAACUGAGGAACCGAGGGAAGAUGUGCAUGUGGUGUCGUUGGCAAAAGAUUUACCUGCAUCAGACAACCCUGAACUCUUGCUUAAAGACUUCAAAGACUACAAUAAGCUCAAAUCUACUUUGCCAUUGGAUCUUGGCUCUUCUGAACCUGAACCUCUUUCUACUGAUGGCGACCCUUCAAAGAAUUCGCUUCCUUCAGGUUCCCCAACCGACCACUCA
rnacentral:lncRNA from 1 species